rnacentral:lncRNA from 1 species
UAACUUGUUUAAAUAUAUUUUCAUGCAAACUAAUAUUUAAAUACAUAUAUUAUAAUUAAAAUUAAAUAUAAGUUUUUGAACAUUAAUCUCAAUAAGUUCUUAUUUUUUUGAUAUAAUGGUUAGACCUACUCAUUGUCCCUCCUCAACCAUUAAAUAAGAAGAUAAUAUGCUUCAACGUACUCGAACCCAUUUCCUCCUGCACUGAUAAUAAUACUGAUGUCAAUCGAGCUAAG